CUACGGGAUGCUCCAGUGGGGAAUAUUGGACAAUGGGCGCAAGCCUGAUCCAGCAAUGCCGCGUGAGUGAAGACGGCCUUAGGGUUGUAAAACUCUUUCGCUAGGGAAGAUAAUGACUGUACCUAGUAAAGAAGUCCCGGCUAACUCCGUGCCAGCAGCCGCGGUAAUACGGAGGGGACUAGCGUUGUUCGGAAUUACUGGGCGUAAAGAGUUCGUAGGCGGACUGACAAGUUAGAGGUGAAAUCCCAGGGCUCAACCCUGGAACUGCCUUUAAAACUGUCAGUCUAGAGACCGGAAGAGGUUAGGGGAAUACCUAGUGUAGAGGUGAAAUUCGUAGAUAUUAGGUGGAACACCAGUGGCGAAGGCGCCUAACUGGUCCGGUACUGACGCUGAGGAACGAAAGCGUGGGGAGCAAACAGGAUUAGAUACCCCAGUAGUC
rnacentral:rRNA from 1 species